AUACGUAGGGAGCGAGCGUUACCCGGAAUUACUGGGCGUAAAGUGCGCGUAGGCGGCUUGGUAAGUCCCUUUUGAAAGCUCCCGGCUUAACUGGGAGAGGUGAGGGGAAACUACUUGGCUUGAGGACAGCAGAGGAAAGCGGAAUUCCCGGUGUAGCGGUGAAGUGCGUAGAUAUCGGGAGGAACACCAGUGGCGAAGGCGGCUUUCUGGGCUGCACCUGACGCUGAGGCGCGAGAGCGUGGGGAGCAAACAGGAUUAGAAACCCCAGUAGUCC
rnacentral:rRNA from 1 species